rnacentral:rRNA from 1 species
UCACACUGCUCUGUCCUGGUCUCAUCUGAUAUUGGAAGCCAUGCAGGGUUGAGCCUAUAGUUCGUGGAUGAGGGAUCACCUGAAAAUGUUAGGU